CUCUGCGCAAGAAAGAUUGCACUAUCUGUCUAGAUGAUGAGGUGGGCACAUUAGGUACAACAAUUUGUACACUCAAAUUAGGACUGGCAUAAGUCAAUAGGAUCCCCUUUAUCAAAAAAAAAGUAUGAUUGUCUUGGCCUAAUCUAUGCAUCAUUGGGCAGUUGGCAGUGACGAAUGCUUACAACUAAAUUACUACACAGCAAUGAAUUAAUACUAAGCAGCUCGCCAGUCUCUUUCACAAGACUAAGCAGCUCGCCAGUCUCUUUCACCAUCGCAGCUCGCCGCCUUUGUUGAAUAGGCUGUUUGUUUUACCCUGCAUUUUUUCUAUACUAGAGAAGCAGAGGAGGGGGACUAGUUUCUACCACCUAGUGUUGUCUCUCUGGGUAUCCAUCCAGUGCUUUAUGUGCUCUCUUGCUUGUAUCCAGUAGGCAGGUAAGGCAUCAGGAAUUCAAGAAGAGAAUUUGAAGAUAUUGUUCGCCCUAUUCUCUCCCGUUGAUCGCGAUGGUCCGGUGGAGAUAGGAAACAGUUUGUGGAUCUGUGCUAACACGCACCGUGCCUCUCUCCUCUUGCAGCACGCUCAUCAGUGCCUUAUCAGUUUAGUUACUGACCCGUAUUCAGGUGAUGGCAGCAUGGUUUUAUUCUUGGUGAUUUGAUUGAUUUUCUUCUCUUCUCUAUUUUUAUCCUGGCCUGCGCUCAACCUUGUGAGGUCUUGAAAGCAGUGAUGGGUUGAUCGAAGCAAACCGUGUCUUCAAGGUCAUCAAUAUUGAUUCCUACUGUAGAUGGUUUUUUCCCUGUUGGAAGACUGCUUUCUAAGGUCAACCUGAUGUUUUUGGUGGGCCUCCUGAGCUGAGUUUCUCAGAGCAAUGGCAACCAUACUAGAAUCUUUGCUUGGGUCAUGUGCCAAUAAGUUGCAAAAUAUUAUUAGUGAUGAGGCCAUACUAAUCCUAGGGGUGGAAGAAGAGCUUGCAGAAGUGUUGAGACGGGUAGAACUAAUACGUUGGUGUAUAUAUGAUGCUGAGAAAAGGAGGACAAAAGAGCUUGCAGUGAACAAUUGGCUUGGUCAACUGAGAGAUGUUAUAUAUGAUGUUGAUGAAAUUUUGGACAUGGCUAGAUGCAAAGGAAGCAAACUACUGCCUGACCAUCCAUUAUCAUCAAGCAAAUCAGCUUCCUAUAAAGGACUUUCAGUUUCCUCUUGCUUUUGUAACAUCGGGUCACCCCACGAUAUUGCUGUUCGGAUUAGAAGUCUGAACAAAAGGAUAGAGAACAUUUCGAAAGAUACAACAUUUUUAACAUUCAGCAGUAGUUCACAGCCUACUGGAAAUGGUCCAACAACCAAAUUGAUAAGAAGUUCCAACCUUGUUGAGCCCAACCUUGUGGGUAAGGAGAUCAUAUAUUCAAGCAAGAAGUUGGUAGACUUAGCACUUGCUCACAAGGCAAAUAAGUCUUAUAAGCUUGCUAUUGUUGGAACAGGAGGAGUUGGUAAGACAACACUAGCUCAGAAAAUAUUCAAUGACCAAAAAAUAAAAGGAAGCUUCAAGCUACAGGCAUGGAUUUGUGUUUCGCGGGACUACAAUGAAAUAACUGUUCUAAAAGAGGUUCUUCGAAAUAUUGGUGUGUAUCAUGAGCAAGGCGAAACCAUAGCAGAACUGCAGAGAAAGCUUGCAGAAACAUUUGAAGGGAAGAGUUUCUUUCUGGUUUUAGAUGACGUGUGGCAUCCCAAUGUCUGGACGGAUUUAUUAAGAACCCCAUUCCAUACAACAAAUUCUGGAGUAAUAUUGGUAACCACGCGAGAUGAUCAAAUUGCAAUGAGAAUAGGCAUACAACAUACCCAUCAAGUUGAUCUCAUGUCAGCAGAGGUGGGAUGGGAGCUACUUUGGAAGAGCAUGAACAUUGCCGAAGAGAAAGAAGUGCAUAAUUUGAGAAACACAGGCAAGGAGAUUGUUGAUAAAUGUGGUCGCCUCCCUCUUGCAAUUAAGGUUACUGCUAGUGCUUUGGCAAGCAAAGAUCUAACCGAGAAUGAGUGGAGAAAGUUUUUAGGCAAAUACUCUGGCUCCCAGGGGAUGCUCUCUGAUGAAAUAGAAGGCACUCUAUACCUAAGCUAUGAUGAGUUACCGCAUCGUCUGAAACAGUGUUUCCUUUACUGUGCUUUGUAUACUGAAGAUUCUAUCAUUUACCGUGGUGUAGUUACAAAGUUAUGGAUUGCUGAAGGCUUCAUUGAGGAGCAACAAGGCCAGCUACUAGAACACACAGCAGAAGAGUACUACUAUGAGCUAAUCCAUCGGAAUCUCCUCCAACCAGAUGGCACAAUUUUUAACCAGGCUCAAUGCAGAAUGCAUGACCUCUUAAGACAGCUUGCUUGCAAAUUAUCACGGGACGAAUGCUUUAUUGGAGACGCUGAAACAUUGAGGGGUGAGAAUAUGUCAAAAUUGCAACGCCUUUCUGUUGUCGAUAAGAAGGAUAAAUUAGUGUUAACUAGCAUGGAUAACAUGGUAGUUAAGGUGAGGACAUUCCUUGCUUUUUAUGGUCCAUGGAAAAUUGAGGAUACAUUCUUCAAGAGAUUUCUACUUCUUCGUGUUCUGGCCCUGAAUUACUCAAUUGUGCAAAACAUUCCAGAUUAUAUAGGAAAAUUGAUCCAUCUACGCCUACUUGAUCUUGGUCAUACGGGCAUAUCUCAUCUUCCAGAAUCCAUUGGAUCCCUAAAGAACCUUCAAGUAUUGAGCUUGAUAAAUUGUUAUGCUCUGCAGAGUCUUCCGUCGGCGAUGACCCAAUUGUGCAAUCUACGAUGUCUUCGUCUUACUGGUACAAAAGUAAAUCAGGUUCCAAAAGGGAUAGGAGAGUUAAAUUUGCUCACUGAAUUACGCGGAUUUCUUGUCGGCGACAUAAGUGAUAAUGCUGAUGUACAAGAUGGGUGGAAGUUGGAAGAGUUGUCUUCUUUGCCGCAAAUGAUGUAUCUUAAUCUUGUUAAAUUGGAAAGAACGGCUCAUUUUCAUACAAAUGUAGUGCUGGAGGACAAAAAACAUCUAAAAGAAUUGGUGCUAGAGUGGACCACACAUGGAGAGGGACCAUAUUCAGAAGAUGUUUGCAAUGCUGAGAAGGUCUUUGAGCUGCUAGUACCUCCAUGCAACUUGGAAACCCUCUAUAUCUUUGGAUUCUUUGGUCAGAGGUAUCCCACGUGGUUUGGUACCACCUGUUUGUCUUCAGUAACACACUUGUUCCUAAAAAAUCUACAAUCAUGCGUGGAUCUUCCACCGGUCGGACAGCUACCAAACUUGAAGUUUCUGAGAAUUGAUGGAGCACAUGUAGUUACCAAGGUUGGACCUGAAUUUGUUGGCUACAGGGUGGGUGAACCCAUAAGCAAUGAGUUCAUUGCUUUCCCUAAACUUGAAUGGUUCUUCGUCAAGGAUAUGCCCAACUGGGAGGAGUGGUCUUUUUUUAAGGAAGUGGAAAAUGUUGUUGAUGAAGGAGGAGACGAUGGUGGUGAUGAGAUUCGUAACGGUGAUGCCCAAUCUAUACGAUUGCAACUGCUGCCUCGUUUGGUGAAGUUGAAAGUCGAAGGUUGCCCAAAGCUGAGUGCUCUCCCGCGACAGCUUGGCGAGGACACCGCCAGCUUAAAGGAGCUCUUGUUAAUUGGAGCGAACAGCUUGAAGGCCGUGAAUGACCUCCCAGUGCUUGAGCUCCUUGUGAUUGAGGAUUGUGAAGGCAUGGAGAAGGUCUCCAACCUCCCUGAAGUGUCAAAACUACAAGUACGUGGUUGUCCAAACUUAAGCCAUGUAGAGGGGUUGGGCAAUUUGCAGCAGCUGGGGUUGGGCGAGGAUAUGCAGGAGAUAUCUUCCCGUUGGGUGCCUGGGCUUCAGAACCAGCGCCAGCGACUUCAUGGCGAAGACCUGGAUGUCUACACACUAUCUACCGGUUAGAUGGCAAGGAAAGCACAAGGACCGGUGCCACAGCUCGCUUCGACAGGCAAAACGCACGUGACACAUACUAAGCCUGUCAAUGGAAGUGGUUGGUGGAUGGGCCAUGCUGCUAAGCUGACAGAGCUGCAGACUGAACACGGCACGACGUGUGCAUGAAUUUCGGGAGGUCAAUGAUGGGAACCUCAGCGGAGAGCAGAAAUGCAGAAGAUGACUAAGGCAGAGGCGCGCAGCCGCACUUUGAAGUAGCUGUCUGUGGAAAAAGCAUCAAGUAUGAAGGGCAAGCUCUGUUCUCUGCAACCGGAAUAUUAGAUUAUUUAGACUGCUGGCUGUGAUUAAACUGAAGCGAGGUGUGUCUUUUGUGUAGUACUAACUUUGUAUUAAAUCAGCCACACUUAUCUGGGGACAGAGGGAAUAUUUGUUUACGCAUGGAUGGUCCCACAUGGAUGAUCCAUCUUGUGCUUAGGACAAAGGUUAAUCAACGGCUGCACUAAAAGACAAACCGCAAUCACCAUAAGUUUGCAGUGUUCUUCUUUUUUCACUGCACGCAAUUAAGUUUGUGAUCUACUGUUUGAGCAUUUUUCAUUGGUCACUUGUCAUCAGCAAGUUAAAUAUGACAGUUGGACCGAGCAUAUUUAUUAUUCUUGUUCAUUUUUGAA